rnacentral:rRNA from 1 species
CACGUAGGGUGCGAGCGUUGUCCGGAAUUAUUGGGCGUAAAGAGCUCGUAGGCGGUGUGUCGCGUCGGCCGUGAAAACUUGGGGCUUAACUCUGAGCGUGCGGUCGAUACGGGCAUCACUUGAGUUCGGCAGGGGAGACUGGAAUUCCUGGUGUAGCGGUGAAAUGCGCAGAUAUCAGGAAGAACACCCGUGGCGAAGGCGGCUCUCUGGGACGGUACUGACGCUGAGACGCGAAAGCGUGGGGAGCGAACAGG